rnacentral:rRNA from 1 species
AGCGCAGACGGUUAUUUAAGCAAGAUGUGAAAGCCCCGGGCUCAACCUGGGAACUGCGUUUUGAACUGGGUAACUAGAGUGUGUCAGAGGGGGUAGAAUUCCACGUGUAGCAGUGAAAUGCGUAGAGAUGUGGAGGAAUACCGAUGGCGAAGGCAGCCCCCUGGGAUAACACUGACGUUCAUGCUCGAAAGCGUGGGUAGCAAGCA